AAGUCGUAACAAGGUUUCCGUAGGUGAACCUGCGGAAGGAUCAUUCACAAUCAGUGUUUAAUGGCACUUGAAAUCCAUUACCCACCUUGUGUGCAUUGUCGGGGGGUCGAGAAGGACCUUUUGGUUUUCUCGCCCUCUUUUCAUUCCAUACCUGAUUCUUCAGUAUCAGUCUACAGUCAUUCGAGUGUAAAAAACUCUAAUACAACUUUCAACAACGGAUCUCUUGGCUCUC
rnacentral:misc_RNA from 1 species